CAAUGACCUCUAAUCACUGUAAAAGAAAUUUUUGGGAGAUAAUUCAACUGGAUAAAUAUUCGAAUGGCACACAAGGAGAAAAUCUUACUGAAGCCAAUCUCGCACAAUUGCCGAUUAUGAGUAAUCUUAAUUGUCUUGCUAAUUGUAUCGUAACAAGCAAUUGAAGGUUGGGUUUGAAUCUCAAUUUAUUUAGCAUAUGGAGUUAAUGCCCCCCCGUUUUGUGUGUCUAUGAAUAUUUUCAGUUACAGAUCCGAAAAAGGAAGUUUCAUACACGGUACGAUUGGGAUUCUAAUUGGGGUUAUGCAGUAAUUUUAGUUAUUAAAACAAUUUAGUAGUAUAAAAUGAAUUAAUAUAUAUAUUAAUCAGGUAUAUAUGAUUUUUUCCCAAGAUUAAAUUCAUUGGCUCAAACCAAAACCUAGUAUCCAUACCCCCCUCUGAAGACGAUAACCUCUACAGUCUACCCACCUCUCUCAACCUGUGUAUCGUCUUCGAUUCUUCUUGUCUCUAAAUUCUCUACUGACUCUCUUCUAAGUCUAAUCGCUCGGCGAGGAGUCCUAUAAGGUGAGCCCUCAAUUUUCUGCCCCAUUGUUCCAACUGCCAAGGUGAAGGUAGGUAAUAUAUNAAGUGGUGCAUAGUUC
rnacentral:lncRNA from 1 species